CAAUGACACUAAACCAAGUGGGGAUCUGCGCCAUGCUAGACACUGUCGAUUGGAGGGCAGAGAAUCCGAGAAAGGCAAGAAACAAGCAGCUUCUGCAUUACUGGAUUUGUCAAACACAGAAAAUAUAUUUGAGACACAAGCUGAAGAAUUGCAGCCACAUGUCGACACACACAGUGGCUGUAUUAAAAAAAUUGCUGCCCUGCGAAUAGAAAACCAGCAGCUAUAUGAAGAAUUAGGGAGACUUCAAAACAGAGAAUGCGAUUUUAAAACAGAAUGAAAGUCGACUGAGUUUUGAGGAGCAGAUGACAUCCAGUGAUCAAAGAAUUCAGUUUUAUACAGGUCUACAGUCAAAAGCUCUAUUUGUAUGGCUGCUGUCAUUUUGCUCCCUGGCACUUCCAGCGUGCAAAGUUCUAAGCCCAACAUGUGUAAUUAUGUGUAUAAUAAUGAAACUUAGGUUGAAUCUCCAGCACCAGGACUUGGCGUAUAGGAUCAGUGUGUCUGUGACCACAAUAUCCGACAUUCUUAACCAGGGACUGCCAAAAUUAGCAGAAAAACUUUCAUUUCUGCUUCAGUGGCCUGAUAAAGACAGUCUGAUAAGAAACAUGCCUAAUGUUAUUAAAAUAACCUACCCAAAAUGUGUGAGCAUCA